GCUUGUCUCAAAGAUUAAGCCAUGCAUGUCUAAGUAUAAACAAAUCUAUACUGUGAAACUGCGAAUGGCUCAUUAAAUCAGUUAUCGUUUAUUUGAUAGUACCUUACUACUUGGAUAACCGUAGUAAUUCUAGAGCUAAUACAUGCGAAAAGACCCGACUUACGAAGGGUUGUAUUUAUUAGAUACAAAACCAAUGCGGAGCAAUCCGGUUUCGGUGAUUCAUAAUAACUUUGCGAAUCGCAUGGGUUUACCCCGGCGAUGAAUCAUUCAAAUUUCUGCCCUAUCAACUUUCGAUGGUAAGGUAUUGGCCUACCAUGGUUACCACGGGUAACGGGGAAUUAGGGUUCGGUUCCGGAGAGGGAGCCUGAGAAAUGGCUACCACAUCCAAGGAAGGCAGCAGG
rnacentral:rRNA from 1 species